UAGUGGUGGCUAGUGGUGGCGACAG
rnacentral:piRNA from 1 species